CCUACGGGGAGCAGCAGUGGGGAAUAUUGGACAAUGGGCGAAAGCCUGAUCCAGCCAUGCCGCGUGUGUGAAGAAGGCCUUCGGGUUGUAAAGCACUUUCAGUGGGGAAGAAAGCCUUGGGGCUAAUACCCUCGAGGAAGGACAUCACCCACAGAAGAAGCACCGGCUAACUCCGUGCCAGCAGCCGCGGUAAUACGGAGGGUGCGAGCGUUAAUCGGAAUUACUGGGCGUAAAGCGCGCGUAGGCGGUCUGAUAAGCCGGUUGUGAAAGCCCCGGGCUCAACCUGGGAACGGCAUCCGGAACUGUCAGGCUAGAGUGCAGGAGAGGAAGGUAGAAUUCCCGGUGUAGCGGUGAAAUGCGUAGAGAUCGGGAGGAAUACCAGUGGCGAAGGCGGCCUUCUGGACUGACACUGACGCUGAGGUGCGAAAGCGUGGGUAGCAAACAGGAUUAGAUACCCUGGUAGUC
rnacentral:rRNA from 1 species